CCAAAGGCUCUUUUCAGAGCCACUCAACAGUCUCAGUUAAAGAGCUU
rfam:Otolemur garnettii contig059044, whole genome shotgun sequence.